rnacentral:rRNA from 1 species
GACAGAGGGUGCAACGUUGUUCGGAAUUACUGGGCGUAAAGCGCGUGUAGGCGGCUAAGUAAGUCGGGCGUGAAAUCCCACGGCUCAACCGUGGAAGUGCACUCGAAACUGCAUAGCUAGAGUCCUGGAGAGGAAGGUGGAAUGCUUGGUGUAGAGGUGAAAUUCGUAGAUAUCGGGGAGGAACACCUGUGGCGAAGGCGGCCCCCUGGUUGGAUACUGACGCUGAGACGCGAAAGCGUGGGGAGCAAACAGG